CCUACGGGAGGCAGCAGUAGGGAAUCUUCCACAAUGGGCGAAAGCCUGAUGGAGCAACGCCGCGUGAGUGAAGAAGGAUUUCGGUUCGUAAAACUCUGUUGUGGUAGAGGGAGAGAACAAGUACAGUAUGUAACUGGCUGUACCUUGACGGUACCUUAUUAGAAAGCCACGGCUAACUACGUGCCAGCAGCCGCGGUAAUACGUAGGUGGCAAGCGUUGUCCGGAAUUAUUGGGCGUAAAGCGCGCGCAGGUGGUUUCUUAAGUCUGAUGUGAAAGCCCACGGCUCAACCGUGGAGGGUCAUUGGAAACUGGGAGACUUGAGUGCAGAAGAGGAUAGUGGAAUUCCAAGUGUAGCGGUGAAAUGCGUAGAGAUUUGGAGGAACACCAGUGGCGAAGGCGACUAUCUGGUCUGUAACUGACACUGAGGCGCGAAAGCGUGGGGGAGCAAACAGGAUUAGAUACCCUGGUAGUCCACGCCGUAAACGAUGAGUGCUAAGUGUUAGGGGGUUUCCGCCCCUUAGUGCUGCAGCUAACGCAUUAAGCACUCCGCCUGGGGAGUACGGUCGCAAGACUGAAACUCAAAGGAAUUGACGGGGGCCCGCACAAGCGGUGGAGCAUGGUGGUUUAAUUCGAAGCAACGCGAAGAACCUUAC
rnacentral:rRNA from 1 species